rnacentral:rRNA from 1 species
UACGUAGGGUGCAAGCGUUGUCCGGAAUUAUUGGGCGUAAAGAGCUCGUAGGCGGUUUGUCGCGUCUGCUGUGAAAAUCCAGGGCUUAACCCUGGACCUGCAGUGGGUACGGGCAGACUAGAGUGCGGUAGGGGAGAUCGGAAUUCCUGGUGUAGCGGUGAAAUGCGCAGAUAUCAGGAGGAACACCGGUGGCGAAGGCGGCUACCUGGACAGAAACUGACGCUGAGGCGCGAAAGCUAGGGGAGCAAACAGG